GCGGCUGGCCAGGCGCGCCGAACAGACACCUGGUCAGUCACCCAAUGACGCAGGUUCCAUUUGCUCCUUUGGUCCCAUUCUACAGCUGGGAGCCCUUUCUUCAGACGGAAUACCUGGCAGGAGCCAAAGAUGAGGAACAUACUUGAUGGACCAGCUUUGAGGUCUCUGCACAGCACGCCCUUCCUUCCCCAGAUGGCAAAGUCCCCAACUCAAGGACCGCGUCCCUUAACCCUGUCUACAGCCAGUAUUGACCAAGGAGACCUGGACAAAAGUUGUUGAGUGGGAAGGCACGCUCUUUAGUGCAUCGUCUCUCCUUUCCACCGCAAUUCUUUCUGCUUCCUGCCCAGAAUGAAGACUUGAUGGCUGGAGCUCCAGUGGCUAUUUUGGAACACGUGGCCCACUUAAGGGUAGACGGUGCACCAAAGUGGCAGAGCAGAAAGAUGGAAGUCUGAGUUGCUGAGGACUUUA